rnacentral:lncRNA from 1 species
AAAUUAUUGUUGGAAAUAUCCAGAUGCUGGAGUUUUGGUAAAUUUAACCUAGGGAUUGGCCCAAUGAAAUUGUUGUGGCUAAGAUCGAAAUCACUGAGGUUGACUAACUUUGAUAUGGAUGUGGGGAUUGACCCAGUGAAGUUGUUGUGGCUAAGAUGGAGAGUUUCGAGGUUGACUAACUUUGAUAUGGAUGUGGGGCUUGGUCCAACUAAAUUGUUGUGGCUAAGAUUGAGACUAACGAGGUUGACUAACUUGGAUAUAGAUGUGGGGAUUGACCCAGUGAAAUUGUUGCUACCAAGACGUAAACUUUCAAGAUUGGGAAAAUUUGAUAUGGAUUUGGGGAUAAGGC